rnacentral:rRNA from 1 species
CCUACGGGAGGCAGCAGUGAGGAAUAUUGGUCAAUGGACGAGAGUCUGAACCAGCCAAGUAGCGUGAAGGAUGACUGCCCUAUGGGUUGUAAACUUCUUUUAUAUGGGAAUAAAACGAGCCACGUGUGGCUUUUUGCAUGUACUUUAUGAAUAAGGAUCGGCUAACUCCGUGCCAGCAGCCGCGGUAAUACGGAGGAUCCGAGCGUUAUCCGGAUUUAUUGGGUUUAAAGGGAGCGUAGGUGGGUUGUUAAGUCAGUUGUGAAAGUUUGCGGCUCAACCGUAAAAUUGCAGUUGAUACUGGCAGUCUUGAGUAAAGUAGAGGUAGGCGGAAUUCGUGGUGUAGCGGUGAAAUGCUUAGAUAUCACGAAGAACUCCGAUUGCGAAGGCAGCUUACUGGCCUGCAACUGACACUGAGGCUCGAAAGUGUGGGUAUCAAACAGGAUUAGAUACCCCAGUAGUC